CAAUGUUCCCACAGUGCAUU
rnacentral:miRNA from 1 species